rnacentral:rRNA from 1 species
CUACGGGCGGCAGCAGCGGGGAAUAUUGCACAAUGGAGGAAACUCUGAUGCAGCAACGCCGCGUGGAGGAUGACACUUUUCGGAGCGUAAACUCCUUUUAUAUAGGAAGAAGAUGACGGUACUAUAUGAAUAAGCGCCGGCUAACUCCGUGCCAGCAGCCGCGGGUGAAUACGGAGGGCGCAAGCGUUACUCGGAAUCACUGGGCGUAAAGAGCGUGUAGGCGGAUUAAAAAGUCAGAAGUGAAAUCCUAUAGCUUAACUAUAGAACUGCUUCUGAAACUCUUAAUCUAGAAUAUGGGAGAGGUAGAUGGAAUUUCUGGUGUAGGGGUAAAAUCCGUAGAGAUCAGAAGGAAUACCGAUUGCGAAGGCGAUCUACUAGAACAUUAUUGACGCUGAGACGCGAAAGCGUGGGGAGCAAACAGGAUUAGAUACCCUUGUAGUC